GGUCAAAUUGCAAAGUUUAGUAGGCGGUGUUCUAUCUUAAAAGUUUUGUUGAAGUGAUUAAAAUAAUGUUUAAUUUUAUUAAAAUAAUCGAAAAAAGAAAAAUAUAUUAUAAAUAUAACAUUUUUAAAACCAGUAAUCAUAAAAAGAAGAGCUGAAGCUGAAAAGAGAGAGAGAAGCUGAAGAGAAAGGAAAAUUCUACAAGAAAGAAGACGUAUACAACCAAUGAUAAUCUGCUCUACAAAAUUAAAGAAAACUCUCCAAAAAGAAUGAAUCUCUACAUGAAUCUACAAACAUGAUCGAACAUCUUCUACGGUAACGCUUCGAAGAAAAAUCUCCUGCUGGUACGAAGAAGAAGAUGGGAUGGAUACUGAUAAGGAUUCCAAGGUUUUCUAAUGAUCAGCGGAUGAAAAAAGAAGACGAGAUGACUUUCUCCGUAAGCCGCAGAGGAGAGGAGAAUCCCUAAUGGCAGGAAACAAAACUGUACAAUUGGUAUGUUAGGAAUUUUUCUAAUAUUCUUUCAGAGAUAAUGGUGGCUCGAUAUGCAAAUAAUAUUUGCAAUACUUACAAAAUCUUACUCUCAUAAAUGCUGAAAGGAGUAUCGAAACAAGUAUGG
rnacentral:lncRNA from 1 species